UCAUUUUUUUGUAUGUUCAAGAUUUUGUCUUCCAGUCGAUAUUUACUGUGAAUGUUUUGAACAUAAUAUUAAUCAUUUUACUUUUUAUUUUCUUGAAGUAUUCACCCUGAUCCUGGUGGGGCUUCAAUGGAGUUUUGGAGUUCCUGCCCCCGUCCGGACCGAUUUUCAUCGAAUGAUGAGCAUAGCAGGAAUACUACAACACGAAGUGGAGGGAUUACUAAAUAAAUCGAUGGACAAUAGCAUUAUUUUCAGAAACAUGCCCAAGUAUCCUGAAAAGACGCCUUCUUCGUCUAUAACUGGCAAAAGUUUCCCCCAAAACCUGGAGGACAUGGUCCUCAAAGGCCACCUUUUCUACUUCCACGUGGCAGAGAUGAGCAGACACCUGAAGAACCUCACCAGGCGCCCGGCCGUCGUCUCGACCAUUUUCACCACCGUCAAAGCGACGCUUCAGCGGCUUUUGCAAACCGUGAAGAAGAAUUUUGAGUCGGUUCAUCCAGAAAUGGGCCCGCUGACCACGCCGGCUCCUCCAGAAUUCCCCGAGCGGAGCUUCUUUGAACAAAAAAGCCACGGAACGGUGGUGCUGCUCAGACUCGGCGAGUGGGUGAAGAACGUGCAGCGAGUGCUGAGGCAGCAUCACGUGGCGCCCGCUCACGGGUCACAAUGAGGCGACUCACUGACAGAGAGAGAGAGGGAAAAAAAAAAAAAAGAUUUCAGCAGCGUUCAGCUAUGAGUUUACUUCACUGCAUCUUUUAUUUAACCCUUUCACACCAGAGCCUCCAGUGAUGAUGAUCUUUGAUUUACUGUAACUCUUCAACCGUUAACAGAUUUUGAAAGAAAAAAAACAGAUUCAAUUUUCUGUUUAGGCGUCACCAUAUAAAAAGUUUAAGCUUAUAAUUGUGUUUUUACUUGAUUUUUAUGACCGUUGUUGUUAGCUAUUUUUAUUUAUGUAUUUAUUUGAUCUUUUAUGGAUGACUUUCCAUUAAUAGUCUAAGUGUUUGGACCGUGAGUCCUUAAUAAAUUAUUCUAUUGUAUCUGUAUCACUUUAACUGUUAAAAUGUCAACAAAUGUGUAUUUAAAAAAAAAGUAAAUUAAGAUUAUUUAUAUUUUUCACCUGCAGAUGAUUGUUUUGUUAUUUAUUCUUAAAAAUGGGAGUUUGCAACAAAAAUAAAGUUUUCCCUUUAACGAAUGAAUUUUCUUGUUUUUUUUCCUGUGUCAUGAUGUCUUCACCAAGUUAUCCAUAAUUUUGAGUCUGCGAACAUAAAAGUAAUGCUUUUAUUUUGUUAAGUCUUGAUAAUUUAUAUAUUUUAUGUUUAAUACUUGUUUUUGCUGUUUUAAAAUAAAAUCUCAGAUGAAUUCAGGUCAUCUUUUAUGGAGUGAUUUUGAUCACUCGGAUUUAAAACAAUUUCUAAAUUGCAAACAAAAUAUGAAAUGUUAGGAAUAAAGCUUCAUAAUUUGCAAAUUAAAAUAUUUAAUAUUUGCAAAAAUCUUAUUUUUGCUUAAAAAAAUAUUUUUGUAUUUGAAAACUGUUUUUUUACUUUCGAAAAAUAUUUUUGUGUUUGCAAACUUCUUUUGCUGUCU
ensembl:lncRNA